rnacentral:rRNA from 1 species
AGCGAACGCUGGCGGCAGGCCUAACACAUGCAAGUCGAACGGAUCCUUCGGGAUUAGUGGCGGACGGGUGAGUAACACGUGGGAACGUGCCCUUUGGUUCGGAACAACUCAGGGAAACUUGAGCUAAUACCGGAUGUGCCCUUCGGGGGAAAGAUUUAUCGCCAUUGGAGCGGCACGCGUCUGAUUAGCUAGUUGGUGAGGUAUAGGCUCACCAAGGCGACGAUCAGUAGCUGGUCUGAGAGGAUGAUCAGCCACAUUGGGACUGAGACACGGCCCAAACUCCUACGGGAGGCAGCAGUGGGGAAUCUUGCGCAAUGGGCGAAAGCCUGGCGCAGCCAUGCCGCGUGAAUGAUGAAGGUCUUAGGAUUGUAAAAUUCUUUCACCGGGGACGAUAAUGACGGUACCCGGAGAAGAAGCCCCGGCUAACUUCGUGCCAGCCGCCGCCGUAA